GAUGAACGCUGGCGGCGUGCUUUAACACAUGCAAGUCGAACGAAGAAACCUUGAAUGAGAGCUUCGGCAGGAUUUCUUGGUAUCUUAGUGGCGGACGGGUGAGUAACGUGUGGGCAACCUGCCCUAUACUGGGGAAUAAUCACUGGAAACGGUGACUAAUACCGCAUGUCAUUGCGAGAGGGCAUCCUCUUGCAAGAAAAGGAGUAAUUCGGUAUAGGAUGGGCCCGCAUCUGAUUAGCUAGUUGGUGAGAUAACAGCCCACCAAGGCGACGAUCAGUAGCCGACCUGAGAGGGUGAUCGGCCACAUUGGGACUGAGACACGGCCCAAACUCCUACGGGAGGCAGCAGUGGGGAAUAUUGCACAAUGGGGAAACCCUGAUGCAGCAACGCCGCGUGAAGGAAGAAGGUUUUCGGAUCGUAAACUUCUAUCAACAGGGACGAAACAAAUGACGGUACCUGAAUAAAGAAAGCCCCGGCUAACUACGUGCCAGCCGCCGCCGU
rnacentral:rRNA from 1 species